rnacentral:rRNA from 1 species
AGCAGUCGCCGCGGGAAUACAGAGGGUGCAAGCGUUAAUCGGAAUUACUGGGCGUAAAGCGCGCGUAGGUGGUUUGUUAAGUUGGAUGUGAAAGCCCCGGGCUCAACCUGGGAACUGCAUCCAAAACUGGCAAGCUAGAGUACGGUAGAGGGUGGUGGAAUUUCCUGUGUAGCGGUGAAAUGCGUAGAUAUAGGAAGGAACACCAGUGGCGAAGGCGACCACCUGGACUGAUACUGACACUGAGGUGCGAAAGCGUGGGGAGCAAACAGGAUUAGAUACCCCCGUAGUCCCUGUCUCUUAUAC